UGUUAAGAAAUAUAUCCAUUUCUACUAUUAAAAAUUAACGUCACUAACAAAAUAAUCGAACAGUUUCAUGUGGCAUGGCAUCUGUACCUCAUUCUGCCAUAUAAGGAACAAUUUUUAAUAGUAAAAAUGGAUGAAAUUUUUAACA
rfam:Gossypium hirsutum cultivar TM-1 unplaced genomic scaffold scaffold413.1, whole genome shotgun sequence